UACAGAGGGUGCAAGCGUUGUUCGGAAUCAUUGGGCGUAAAGGGCGCGUAGGCGGUCAAGAAAGUCAAAUGUGAAAUCCCAGGGCUCAACCUUGGAAGUGCAUCUGAAACUACUUAACUAGAGUCUCGGAGAGGGUGGUGGAAUUCCCAGUGUAGAGGUGAAAUUCGUAGAUAUUGGGAGGAACACCGGUGGCGAAGGCGACCACCUGGACGAAGACUGACGCUGAGGCGCGAGAGCGUGGGUAGCAAACAG
rnacentral:rRNA from 1 species